CCAGGCCUCGUAUCAACUAGCCUCUCAGCUUGGGAGCUACUCUAGUUCAGUCACCAGGUCUGAUGAUGUCAUAGACACAGGUGGUCACUGUCUCAUGGGGGGCCCUUCUCUGAAGGAACAGGAGCCAGAUUCCUGAAUGGCACACUCCUUCCCAUCAGGCUGUGCUCAAGAUGCAUCAGGCUGAGAUUAGGCUACAAGCUCCACAUGGUUGUUAGGAAACCAUUACAAAUGGCUCCAAAUUUAAGGACAGAGGUAAGGGACAGAGGUACAUUUUUGUUAGUAUCAUCUAAACUGGCCACAUGUCGUGUUCUGCUUUGCUAAGUGCUGAGUAUCCUCUUUUUAAUUUUUUUAAAUUAAAUUAAAAAAUUUUUUCACGGAUAUAUAAUAGUUGUACAUAUUUAUGGUGUCCAUGUGAUAUGUUGUUAUGUGCAUUGAAUGUGUAAUGAUGAAGUCAGGGUAUUUAGGACAUCUAUCACAUCAAGUAUUCUUAAAUGAUGCAAGUGUAAGAUUAUUCUUGUGAAGAAAAAAAUGACUAAAAGGAACAUUUAAAUGGACUCAUGUCCAUCUCUUCUAUGUACUCUGAAAAUUUUAAUACCAAAUAUCACCUAAGAUAUAAGCUUUUUUUUCCACAAUCAAUACAAUGGGUGGGAGGGGGUUCACCUUGAGGUAUUGAAUACAUUAAGAAUUUAGGUUAAACUUCAGUUAAGCUAACUCAGCAGUAAUUUAAAAUGUUUCUACAAUGAAGGAUAACAAUUUUGACAAUUAUACAGCAAGUGUGAAAUAAGUAAGUACUCCAUUUCCUUUGUAAUAAUAAUCAAAAUUAGUGAUAUUCUGACCCACAUUCAAAUUCCUAUGUACUGAACUGCUAGAAAAAAAAAAAGGCAUGUUAGGAAAAAGAAGAGAUUCCAAUAAUAGCGGUUUUUUACAGCUUCACAGUUUACAAAGAGUCUUCAAAACCAGAACCUCAUUUUUUUGUUUGUUUGUUUUGAGAUGUUGUCUCACCCUGUCUCUCAGGCUAGAGUGCAAUGGCGCCAUCCUGGCUCACCGCAACCUCCACCUCCCGGGUUCAAGAGAUUCUCCUGCCUCGGCCUCCUGAAUAGCUGGGAUUAGAGACACUCAUCGCCAUGCCUGGGUAAUUUUGUAUUUGCAGUAGAGACGAGGUUUCACCAUGUUAGCCAGCUGGUCUCGAACUCCUGACCUCAAGUGAUUUGCCCGCCUUGGCCUCCCAAAGAUUACAGGUGUGAGCCACUGCAGCUGGCCCAGGACCUCAUUCUUGUAACAGCUCUGUGGAAUAGGUAGGCUAUUUAUAAUCCCAUUAGAUAUAUUUAUCCUUGAACUCAUUAAACACAAUUUAUGAA